UACGGAGGGUGCAAGCGUUAAUCGGAAUUACUGGGCGUAAAGCGUACGUAGGCGGCUUGUUAAGCGAGAUGUGAAAGCCCCGGGCUCAACCUGGGAACCGCAUUUCGAACUGGCAAACUAGAGUCUUGUAGAGGGGGGUAGAAUUCCAGGUGUAGCGGUGAAAUGCGUAGAGAUCUGGAGGAAUACCGGUGGCGAAGGCGGCCCCCUGGGCCUGUACUGACGCUCAUGCACGAAAGCGUGGGGAGCAAACAGG
rnacentral:rRNA from 1 species